rnacentral:rRNA from 2 species
AUUAAUUCGAGAGUUUGAUCAUGGCUCAGGACGAACGCUGGCGGCGUGCCUAAUACAUGCAAGUCGAACGAACUCUGGUAUUGAUUGGUGCUUGCAUCAUGAUUUACAUUUGAGUGAGUGGCGAACUGGUGAGUAACACGUGGGAAACCUGCCCAGAAGCGGGGGAUAACACCUGGAAACAGAUGCUAAUACCGCAUAACAACUUGGACCGCAUGGUCCGAGCUUGAAAGAUGGCUUCGGCUAUCACUUUUGGAUGGUCCCGCGGCGUAUUAGCUAGAUGGUGGGGUAACGGCUCACCAUGGCAAUGAUACGUAGCCGACCUGAGAGGGUAAUCGGCCACAUUGGGACUGAGACACGGCCCAAACUCCUACGGGAGGCAGCAGUAGGGAAUCUUCCACAAUGGACGAAAGUCUGAUGGAGCAACGCCGCGUGAGUGAAGAAGGGUUUCGGCUCGUAAAACUCUGUUGUUAAAGAAGAACAUAUCUGAGAGUAACUGUUCAGGUAUUGACGGUAUUUAACCAGAAAGCCACGGCUAACUACGUGCCAGCAGCCGCGGUAAUACGUACGUGGCAAGCGUUGUCCGGAUUUAUUGGGCGUAAAGCGAGCGCAGGCGGUUUUUUAAGUCUGAUGUGAAAGCCUUCGGCUCAACCGAAGAAGUGCAUCGGAAACUGGGAAACUUGAGUGCAGAAGAGGACAGUGGAACUCCAUGUGUAGCGGUGAAAUGCGUAGAUAUAUGGAAGAACACCAGUGGCGAAGGCGGCUGUCUGGUCUGUAACUGACGCUGAGGCUCGAAAGUAUGGGUAGCAAACAGGAUUAGAUACCCUGGUAGUCCAUACCGUAAACGAUGAAUGCUAAGUGUUGGAGGGUUUCCGCCCUUCAGUGCUGCAGCUAACGCAUUAAGCAUUCCGCCUGGGGAGUACGGCCGCAAGGCUGAAACUCAAAGGAAUUGACGGGGGCCCGCACAAGCGGUGGAGCAUGUGGUUUAAUUCGAAGCUACGCGAAGAACCUUACCAGGUCUUGACAUACUAUGCAAAUCUAAGAGAUUAGACGUUCCCUUCGGGGACAUGGAUACAGGUGGUGCAUGGUUGUCGUCAGCUCGUGUCGUGAGAUGUUGGGUUAAGUCCCGCAACGAGCGCAACCCUUAUUAUCAGUUGCCAGCAUUAAGUUGGGCACUCUGGUGAGACUGCCGGUGACAAACCGGAGGAAGGUGGGGAUGACGUCAAAUCAUCAUGCCCCUUAUGACCUGGGCUACACACGUGCUACAAUGGAUGGUACAACGAGUUGCGAACUCGCGAGAGUAAGCUAAUCUCUUAAAGCCAUUCUCAGUUCGGAUUGUAGGCUGCAACUCGCCUACAUGAAGUCGGAAUCGCUAGUAAUCGCGGAUCAGCAUGCCGAGGUGAAUACGUUCCCGGGCCUUGUACACACCGCCCGUCACUCCAUGAGAGUUUGUAACACCCAAAGUCGGUGGGGUAACCUUUUAGGAACCAGCCGCCUAAGGUGGGACAGAUGAUUAGGGUGAAGUCGUAACAAGGUAGCCGUAGGAGAACCUGCGGUUGGAUCACCUCCUUACU